rnacentral:rRNA from 1 species
AACCUGCCCACUGAGGAUUUAAAUGGCCGCGGUAUUUUGACCGUGCAAAGGUAGCAUAAUAAUUAGUUUUUUAAUUGAAAGCUGGAAUGAAAGGUUGGAUGAGAAAAUAACUGUCUCUAUUUAGAUUAAUUAGAAUUUUAUUUUUAAGUAAAAAAGCUUAAAUAAAAAUAGAAGACGAGAAGACCCUAUAGAGUUUUAAUUUAGUUGGGGUGAUUGAAAAAUUUAAUAAACUUUUUUUAUAUUAAACCAUUGAUUUAUGAUUAAUUGAUCCUUAGAUUUAGAUUAAAAGAAAAAAUUACCUUAGGGAUAACAGCGUAAUUUUUUUAGAGAGUUCAAAUCGAAAAAAAAGAUUGCGACCUCGAUGUUGGAUUAAAAUUAAAUUUUGGUGUAGAAGCUAG